GGGAGUAUAGCUCAGUGGUAAAGUGCCUGCUUAACAUGUGCGAGGUCCUGGGUUCAAUCCCCAGUACCUCCU
rnacentral:tRNA from 1 species